rnacentral:rRNA from 1 species
CAGUAGCCACGGUAAUACAGAGGGUGCGAGCGUUAAUCGGAUUUACUGGGCGUAAAGCGUGCGUAGGCGGCUUUUUAAGUCGGAUGUGAAAUCCCCGAGCUUAACUUGGGAACUGCAUUCGAUACUGGGAAGCUAGAGUAUGGGAGAGGAUGGUAGAAUUCCAGGUGUAGCGGUGAAAUGCGUAGAGAUCUGGAGGAAAACCGAUGGCGAAGGCAGCCAUCUGGCCUAAUACUGACGCUGAGGUACGAAAGCAUGGGGAGCAAACAGGAUUAGAUACCCCUGUAGUCCCUGUCUCUUAUAA